UGGGGAAUAUUGCACAAUGGGGGAAACCCUGAUGCAGCAACGCCGCGUGAAGGAUGAAGGUUUUCGGAUUGUAAACUUCUUUUAUUCGUGAAGAUAAUGACGGUAGCGAAUGAAUAAGCCACGGCUAACUACGUGCCAGCAGCCGCGGUAAUACGUAGGUGGCGAGCGUUGUCCGGAAUUACUGGGUGUAAAGGGCGAGUAGGCGGGACUACAAGUCAGAUGUGAAAUGCGGAGGCUCAACCUCCGAGCUGCAUUUGAAACUGUAGUUCUUGAGUGAUGGAGAGGCAGGCGGAAUUCCCGGUGUAGCGGUGGAAUGCAUAGAUAUCGGGAGGAACACCAGUGGCGAAGGCGGCCUGCUGGACAUUAACUGACGCUGAGGAGCGAAAGCGUGGGGAGCAAACA
rnacentral:rRNA from 1 species